rnacentral:rRNA from 1 species
GACGAACGCUGGCGGCGGGCUUAACACAUGCAAGUCGGACGCUCCGGUUUUGGCCGGGGCGUGGCGCACGGGUGCGUAACACGUAGGUAACCUGCCCUCGAGUGGGGAAUAACCCCGGGAAACCGGGGCUAAUACCGCAUACAGACUGGGAGCUGCAUGGCUCUCAGUUGAAAGCCGUGCACCGGUGACGGUGCGGGCGCUCGGGGAUGGGCCUGCGGCGGAUUAGGUAGUUGGUGGGGUAAGGGCCUACCAAGCCUGCGAUCCGUAGCUGGUCUGAGAGGAUGAUCAGCCACACUGGCACUGAGACACGGGCCAGACUCCUACGGGAGGCAGCAGUGAGGAAUUUUGCGCAAUGGAAGGCAACUCUGACGCAGCCACGCCGCGUGCAGGAGGACGCCCCUACGGGGUGUAAACUGCUUUUCUGCGAGAAGAAGGCCUUGCUUUGGGCAGGGUGUGACGGUAUCGCAGGAAUAAGCACCGGCUAACUCCGUGCCAGCAGCCGC